GAAUUGAAACUGAUGAAAGAAAUUAGCAAGUAUGUUAGAGACCAGAAGUACACCUCAGAAAUGAGGUAGGACUCUUUUCAUUCAGCUUGGAGUUGUGAAGGUGUAGAGAUUUGCUCUUGCAUGGUUAGAGGUAAUUGAUAUUUCCUUGCAAUCUGUUUGAUGGGAUUGCUGAUGGCUGUUUGGAAGGUGGAAAUGGACAAGCCCAUGGCCAUUGAGGAUAUGUUUCUUGAGAGAGCAAAGCAUUCAACAUGUAGCACCAAUUCUGAGAUGCUUUUCAAGAGAAAUAGAGAGCAUUUUCAAACUGUUGAUCCACUUAAAUUUGAAAGAUAAUUUUGUGUAAGUCCUUUUGUAUUAAAGCAUCCCUGGAGGUGCAAGGGCCAAGAACUGUGCGAGUGAGACUCCUAAUUCUGUAUCAGACAAAGUGGUGGCUCCUGAUUUCAGUUUCUUCAUGCUAAACAAAGUCAUUCUGUUCUGAAGAAGUCUUUAUACAUGUAGGAAGGCUGUGUCUUUGGUUUCCACAGGUCCAGAUAAACCCUUGAAAAAGUUUCUACCGUUGCUUCCAGGAAGAGUUAGGCAUAUAGCAAGCAGCAAGAGAAGAGAUAAAACUUGGGUUGCUUGAAAAGUGGGGCAAUAUUUCACAAUCGUGCAAAAGGAGAUACAGAAGAAGAGAGCAGAAUGAGAGCUUUGCAAGUGCCACAUGCCUGCAGCCUGAUGUCUUUAGUGAUGCUGUUCCUUCCAGUCACUGGAACAUCAAAACAAAAUAUCCCAAGACUGAAGCUUUCCUAUAAAGAAGGGCCUCAAUUGGAUAAAAGAAUUGUGUUCAGAAGAUACAAAACUACUCUGCUGAAUGUUCACUUCAUUAAAUCUUGGAAGAUGAGAGGAAACAAAACUGAAAUGGUGAUACUUGGCAAAGAAUUUUUGCUCCCUUGUAAAAAGAAGGAUGGGACAACAUCAAAAACAGGUUCCCUAGAAGAAUGCUGGGAAGAUACAUGAUAAGUGGCAUCAGCUCAGAAGAGAGUUCAAAACUCUUUCUUUAACUACUUUUACUAAUAACAUCUGGUAAGCAAAUGCAAUUCAGAACAGUUUCAGAAAUCCCAACAUUAUUCUCCUGCACAGUAAUGGGAGGGCAUGAUCUGCCUGACAUCAGUGUCUGUCUAGCAGUGGAUGUCUGUGAUCACUAUGCAGGUACUCAAGUCACAUCCUGUUUCACUUUCCUCCCUCCCCAUUUCUGCAGUUCCAUUUUUAGAUGAGUUCCCCAAAGAAGGGCUGAGGAGUAUAAUCUCUUCUGUACUCACAGUCCUUUGGAUACAAAUACACAAAGAGCAGAAAGAGACAGAAGUUCCUGUGUCAGUCAGAGAGAUUGGCUAACUCUGUUUAAGGGAGACGAUUUUGAAGAUGGAGGGAAUGACAGAGGUACAUCUGUGCACAAAUUUGAAAAAACCCAGACAUUCUACUUUCUGAACAAAAUCUUGGCUAAACCAGAAUUUUCCAUGGUGUUGAACCAUAAAAUUUGAGAGCUAAGAGGCUAUUGAACACACUGAAAUUUCGUAAUUAACUUAUUUGGCCUUUUUAUUAAAUUUGGCCUUUUUAUUAAAUGUUCCUGUGUAUCAUCCAAGCAACCUGGAUUUCUUUCAGAAAAAUUUCUCACUAAAUCUGUAACAAAACAUUAGCCUAUUGACAUCCUACCCCUAAAUUAAUAAGUAAAAAUACUGAUAAUAAAAAAUGUCCCCCUCCAGUAUUAAAUAAAAGC
ensembl:lncRNA